UUUUUUUUUGAAUACCAGGAGGUUCUGGGCCGAAGCCCGUAAUCCCUCCAGGCCCGAAACCACAACAUGUAAUAUUAGUUUCGUUCCAAGCAUUACUCGAACCGGCGACCUCUAAGCUUCGCCUAGGGUCUUUACCAAUUGAGCUAACGACACUUGGUUUUCUUUGUCGUUAUACUUAAACCAUUAAUACAACAAAUCUCUUAUACAUGUUCUUCAAACUUGUGAAUUGACACUAACAAAUUUGGGUAUCCAUCGGGCAGUCCAUUGGACGCUAGAUGGAUGUCCAGGAAAAUAAUGGGGACCCAAAGAGAAGCAGAUAAACAAACUUGUGU
rnacentral:sRNA from 1 species